rnacentral:lncRNA from 1 species
GAUUUACUUACUGACUGACUGACUUUGCUGAGGAAGAUUGGCCCUGAGCUAACAUCUGUUGCCAAUUUUCCUCUUUUUGCUUGAGAAAGAUUGUCCCUGAGCUAACAUCUGUGCCAAUCUUGCUCUAUUUUAUACAUGGGACACCACCACAAUGUGGCUUGACAAGCAGUAUGUGGGUCUGUCCCAGGAUCCGAACCCCAAAACCCGGGGCCACCAGAGCGGAGCAUGCGAACUUCGCCACUAUACCACCAGGCCAGCCCCAGAGGGAAGAUUUUUAAAGGUGGGAAAAUUCACAGGAUGUGUAUGUGCUGACAAGACUCAUCCAGAAGAGAAAGAAAGAAAUGGUGGUGCAGGAGCGAGAAGACAUAAUUAUGGGAGCAGUGUCCCCAAUUACAUGAGGAGGUGGAAUCCAGGGCACUGUGGGAGCCACCCAGAGAAGUGAGCAGUGUAGUGAAAAGAACACUGGCCUUGGAUGCAGAACGCAGGAGCCUGAUACCAGCCAGGGGAGUGUGCUAACUGGGUCAGAGAAGAAGGAGUAUACAUUCCCAUUUUCCAGAAGCUACAUAAUGUGUGAUAGCACAGAAGACCGACCGCAGAAGCAG